rnacentral:rRNA from 1 species
GUCGAGCGAGCGGAACCAACAGAUUUACUUCGGUAAUGACGUUGGGAAAGCGAGCGGCGGAUGGGUGAGUAACACGUGGGGAACCUGCCCCUCAGUCUGGGAUACCAUUUGGAAACAGGUGCUAAUNCCGGAUAAUAAAGCAGAUCGCNUGAUCAGCUUUUGAAAGGCGGCGUACGCUGUCGCUAAGGGAUGGCCCCGCGGNGCAUUACCUAGUUGGUAAGGAAACGGCUUANNNAGGCGACGAUGCAUAGCCGAGUUGAGACACUGAUCGGCCCCAUUGNGACUGAGACACNGCCCAAACUCCUACGGGAGGCAGCAGUAGGGAAUCNUCCNCAAUGGACGCAAGUCUGAUGGAGCAACGCCGCGUGAGUGUAGANGGU